AUACGGAGGAUCCGAGCGUUAUCCGGAUUUAUUGGGUUUAAAGGGAGCGUAGGUGGACAGUUAAGUCAGUUGUGAAAGUUUGCGGCUCAACCGUAAAAUUGCAGUUGAUACUGGCUGUCUUGAGUACAGUAGAGGUGGGCGGAAUUCGUGGUGUAGCGGUGAAAUGCUUAGAUAUCACGAAGAACUCCGAUUGCGAAGGCAGCUCACUGGACUGCAACUGACACUGAUGCUCGAAAGUGUGGGUAUCAAACAGGAUUAGAUACCCUGGUAGUCCGCACAGUAAACGAUGAAUACUCGCUGUUUGCGAUACACUGUAAGCGGCCAAGCGAAAGCGUUAAGUAUUCCACCUGGGGAGUACGCCGGCAACGGUGAAACUCAAAUGAAUUGGCGGGG
rnacentral:rRNA from 1 species